rnacentral:lncRNA from 1 species
ACAUUGUAAAAGCAAAAGAAAGCUUCAGGAAAGACUCAUAACAGAAAUACUUUACUAAAAAAAUUCUGUUAAAAUACAAUGCCACAUAACUAAGUCUUAUGCUUAGGAGUGCCCUUAUUUUGUGUGUUGACUAGAAAAGGCAAAACUUUUUCUGUAGUUAAUACGGCAUUUUUGUUUCCAGAUCUUUUCUUCCUGUACUGAUUCAUUAUGUUUAAACUGUUUCAACAAAACGCCAAACAGAGAUAUUAAAGCUUUCACAGCGCCUGAACAAAAACAGACUCUCCAUUAUAUUCUUCGAGGAAUAAUUUAUUAAAUGUGUUUUUAUAAAUUG